rnacentral:lncRNA from 1 species
GGCGGCCGAAUUUAACGUUUCAACGCGAUCUUGAAAAAACGGGACAGAUCGGAAUAAUUUUGAUGUUAAAUACGACAUGAAUUUUUAUUUGUUUGCAAAAACAAGAAUUCAGAAAUUUUGGUAACUUGUGUAGCUUAUUUAAAUUUUAUUGUACCACGGAAAUUACCGAAGUUAGGACAACAACAUCUGACGCCAUGUUUCGU